rnacentral:rRNA from 1 species
AUUGAACGCUGGCGGCAUGCUUUACACAUGCAAGUCGAGCGGCAGCGCGGGGGCAACCCUGGCGGCGAGCGGCGAACGGGUGAGGAAUACAUCGGAACGUACCCCGGAGUGGGGGAUAACGCCGCGAAAGCGGCGCUAAUACCGCAUAUGCUCUGAGGAGGAAAGUGGGGGACCGCAAGGCCUCACGCUCUGGGAGCGGCCGAUGUCCGAUUAGCUAGUUGGUGGGGUAAUGGCUUACCAAGGCGACGAUCGGUAGCUGGUCUGAGAGGAUGAUCAGCCACACUGGGACUGAGACACGGCCCAGACUCCUACGGGAGGCAGCAGUGGGGAAUUUUGGACAAUGGGGGCAACCCUGAUCCAGCCAUGCCGCGUGCGGGAAGAAGGCCUUCGGGUUGUAAACCGCUUUUAGUCGGGAAGAAAAGGUUAUCCCUAAUAAGGAUGACUC